CGGGCUGCGGCCGCGCGGCUCGCUUUCCUGCGUCGCGGGUGCGCGGGCAGCCGCAGGGGCUGAGCUCGUUUGCUCGGUUACUAAGCAACCGGGUAGCUCAAGCCUCUCCUCUGGCUGGUUUAUCCUUCCCUUUCUGAAAGACAUUCGUCCUUCCUACCUCUACUCCUCUCCAAACCAUAUCGCUAGACCCUGAAGCAGCAAUCUUCAUGUGACUUGGUUUCAAAUUCCUUAUACAGCGUAGCUAACUCGGCAUGUAUCAAGAAGGAUUUGUCAUAACCUUAAUAAGUAUGGUGCCCCAAACUAAAGCCAUAUCUGCAGUAUCAAGAACCAUGAAGGAUCUAAGAUCUUACUCUCCUUGCAAGCUAAGUUAGCCUACCGCAGUCUCACAGAUGCUAGCAGAUGUCUACGAGAUGUCUAGGUCAGGGACAGAGGCCCUUAUUACACACGAUGCUGUGCCACGUGCUGGGGGUCCCAAGGAUGGCGGGGUCUGGCUUUCAACACGCAUGGGAAGACAGGACACACAACACACUGCAGUUAGGAUAUUUCACAGGUAGAAAUGCCAGCACAGGAUAGCACAUGCAAAGGAGUUUAUACGCUUUACUGUUCAAAAUAUGCUCUUCCGUGAUUGAUGUGCUGUUUCUUCCAAAUAAAUGUGCUGCAAAUCCAAA